AUUGAACGCUGGCGGCAGGCCUAACACAUGCAAGUCGAACGAGUGGCGGACGGGUGAGUAAUGUCUGGGAAACUGCCCGAUGGAGGGGGAUAACUACUGGAAACGGUAGCUAAUACCGCAUACCAUCGGAUGUGCCCAGAUGGGAUUAGCUAGUAGGUGGGGUAACGGCUCACCUAGGCGACGAUCCCUAGCUGGUCUGAGAGGCUGACCAGCCACACUGGAACUGAGGCACGGUACAGACUCCUACGGGAGGCAGAAGUGGGGAAUAUUGCACAAUGGACGCGAGCCUGAUGCAGCCAUGCCGCGGGUAUGAAGAAGGCCUUCGGGUUGUAAAGUACUUUCAGCGGGGAGGCGUUACCCGCAGAAGAAGCACCGGCUAACUCCGUGCCAGCAGCCGCGGUAAUUC
rnacentral:rRNA from 1 species